GCACAUUCCAGCCAAUCAGCAGCAGACCCUCCCUCCCAGACCCUUCCACCUCCUGGACAGCUCACUAAGAAUGCAGCUUCACAAUGAAUGCAAAAUGGAUGCUGUCCAGGAGGUGGGAGGGUCUGGGAGGGAGGGUCUGCUGCUGAUUGGCUGGAAUGUGUCU
rnacentral:miRNA from 1 species